CCUCCUUUUCUAUGCCCAGCUCUGUAAUGUCCGGAGGUACAGGAAUGCCCACCCAGUUUUCUGUCUUCAGUACCAGCGACUUUGCCAUCUGCUGGUUCUAUCCUCAAGCACCAGGGCAAAA